CGGCUUAAGAGCACUGUUCCGGUUUCAAUGUGUAAAUAAAACCUCCUAUAACCACAAUACUGUUCGAAUUUUCUGUAAUUGUUCAUUCACCAUGUUAUUAAUAAUGUGUCGUUGAAUUAAAAUACUGUUCAAAUUUUCUGUAUUUGUUCAUUCACUAUGGUAUUCAUAAUGUGUCAUGGAGUGCUCAAGUCUACACACAUUUUGAACAUGUG
rnacentral:lncRNA from 1 species